rnacentral:tRNA from 1 species
GCGGCAGCGGCUGAGUGGUAGAGCACCCGCUUCGCACGCGGGAGACCUGGGUUCGAUUCCCUGCUGCUUCC